rnacentral:sRNA from 1 species
UUAUUGCGUUAGGGAUUGUAGUGGCAUCCUUUUUUUCUUAAGCUUUUCUCUUAAGAAAGAAAGAUAUAACGGAAAGCCCGCCCUUUG